UGGCUCAGGACGAACGCUGGCGGCGUGCCUAACACAUGCAAGUCGAACGGAGUAAUUCCUUUCGGGGGAUUACUUAGUGGCGAACGGGUGAGUAACGCGUGAGGAACCUACCUCUCAGUGGGGGACAACAGUUGGAAACGACUGCUAAUACCGCAUAAUGUAUCUGGACCGCAUGAUUCGGAUACCAAAGAUUUAUUGCUGAGAGAUGGCCUCGCGUCUGAUUAGCUAGUUGGCGGGGUAACGGCCCACCAAGGCGACGAUCAGUAGCCGGACUGAGAGGUUGAACGGCCACAUUGGGACUGAGAUACGGCCCAGACUCCUACGGGAGGCAGCAGUGGGGAAUAUUGGGCAAUGGGGGAAACCCUGACCCAGCAACGCCGCGUGAAGGAAGAAGGCCUUCGGGUUGUAAACUUCUUUUACCAGGGACGAAGACGUGACGGUACCUGGAGAAAAAGCAACGGCUAACUACGUGCCAGCAGCCGCGGUAAUACGUAGGUUGCAAGCGUUGUCCGGAUUUACUGGGUGUAAAGGGCGUGUAGGCGGAGAUGCAAGUUGGGAGUGAAAUCCCGGGGCUCAACCCCGGAACUGCUUUCAAAACUGUAUCCCUUGAGUGUCGGAGAGGCAAGCGGAAUUCCUAGUGUAGCGGUGAAAUGCGUAGAUAUUAGGAGGAACACCAGUGGCGAAGGCGGCUUGCUGGACGAUAACUGACGCUGAGGCGCGAAAGCGUGGGGAGCAAACAGGAUUAGAUACCCUGGUAGUCCACGCUGUAAACGAUGAAUACUAGGUGUGGGAGGACUGACCCCUUCCGUGCCGCAGUUAACACAAUAAGUAUUCCACCUGGGGAGUACGACCGCAAGGUUGAAACUCAAAGGAAUUGACGGGGGCCCGCACAAGCAGUGGAUUAUGUGGUUUAAUUCGACGCAACGCGAAGAAACCUUACCAGGACUUGACAUCCAACUAACGAAGUAGAGAUAC
rnacentral:rRNA from 1 species